rnacentral:rRNA from 1 species
UACGUAGGUGGCGAGCGUUAUCCGGAAUGAUUGGGUUUAAAGGGUGCGUAGGCGGACUGUCAAGUCAGCGGUAAAAUUGAGAGGCUCAACCUCUUCCCGCCGUUGAAACUGGUGGUCUUGAGUGGAUGAGAAGUACGCGGAAUGCGUGGUGUAGCGGUGAAAUGCAUAGAUAUCACGCAGAACUCCGAUUGCGAAGGCAGCGCACCGGCAUCCAACUGACGCUGAGGCACGAAAGCGUGGGGAUCAAACAGG